rnacentral:lncRNA from 1 species
CUCUGCGGGGAGAGCUGGCGCCGGCGUCUCCCUGUAGCAGGACUGGGCGCCGCGCCCGUGGGUGGGCUGCUGCCCGGCCCCGCCGCCCAGCCAAGCCGCCGCCUGGGUGGCCAUUCCCAAGCCGGACUCCGGGGAAGUGGCAGCGUGGAUCCCAGCCGCCAGAAUUCGAGGUCUGCGGCGGCUUUCAAAACUUGACAACUUUCCUUUCCAGGAGGACCCCGUUCUGGAGCGUUAUUUCAAAGGCCACAAAGCUGCGAUCACCUCCUUGGACCUCAGCCCCAACGGCAAGCAACUUGGAGAGGAAAAUUCUCAGAAUUUAAAGCUCAUACAGCUCCAGUUCGAAGUGUAGACUUUUCAGCUGAUGGCCAGUUUCUAGCUACAGCUUCUGAAGACAAAUCCAUAAAAGUAUGGAGCAUGUAUCGCCAGCGCUUCCUGUAUUCCUUGUAUCGACAUACACACUGGGUACGCUGUGCCAAGGACCUGUCUUUACUGUUUCAUUUUCAAAAGGUGGAGAGCUAUUUGCAUCAGGAGGUGCAGACACACAGGUCUUAUUAUGGAGGACUAACUUUGAUGAAUUGCAUUGUAAAGGUCUUACCAAAAGAAAUCUCAAAAGAUUACAUUUUGAUUCACCACCACAUCUUCUUGAUAUCUACCCAAGAACACCACAUCCCCAUGAGGAAAAAGUUGAGACUGUAGAAGU